UAGGGAAUCUUCCACAAUGGACGCAAGUCUGAUGGAGCAACGCCGCGUGAGUGAAGAAGGUUUUCGGAUCGUAAAGCUCUGUUGUUGGUGAAGAAGGAUAGAGGCAGUAACUGGUCUUUAUUUGACGGUAAUCAACCAGAAAGUCACGGCUAACUACGUGCCAGCAGCCGCGGUAAUACGUAGGUGGCAAGCGUUGUCCGGAUUUAUUGGGCGUAAAGCGAGCGCAGGCGGAAUGAUAAGUCUGAUGUGAAAGCCCACGGCUCAACCGUGGAACUGCAUCGGAAACUGUCAUUCUUGAGUGCAGAAGAGGAGAGUGGAAUUCCAUGUGUAGCAGUGAAAUGCGUAGAUAUAUGGAAGAACACCAGUGGCGAAGGCGGCUCUCUGGUCUGCAACUGACGCUGAGGCUCGAAAGCAUGGGUAGCGAACAGG
rnacentral:rRNA from 1 species